UACUGUCAAACGCAGUUAGUUGAAUGGCUGGAUUGGUUUCGAAUUAUUAUUGUUUAUGUGGACUGAAUCUGUAUUGAAGCUUUCAAAUCAAAAUGAAUCGACGCCGCGCAUUGACGAUGCAUGAAGUUUUUGCUAUACUGGAGGAAGAGAGUGAUGAUGAAGAAACUUUAGCUAUUCAACGGGUAUCUGAAGUAAAUGUGGUAUAUAUUUUCCCUCCCGUUGAUUUUAAGUAUUAGACAACACUUUCCAGCUAGAGCUCACGAUGAAAAGUCAAGAAGAUGCAGGCAUUGUCACAAACCCACAAUAUUCAUCUGUAAAAACUGUAAUGUUUAUGUACAUCCCAAAUGUUUUGAAGCUCUUGAACCACAUAAAUGAUAAAUUUCAAUGAAAUCAUA